UAUGGAUGUAACACCCUGAUCGUGCCUGAUCUCAUCUGAUCUAGGAAGCUAAGCUAAAUCAGGCCUGAUUAGUACCUGGAUUAAAAGUUUGCUGAGGAAAUCCACAG
rnacentral:rRNA from 1 species